rnacentral:rRNA from 1 species
GUGGGGAAUAUUGGACAAUGGGCGAAAGCCUGAUCCAGCCAUGCCGCGUGUGUGAAGAAGGUCUUCGGAUUGUAAAGCACUUUAAGUUGGGAGGAAGGGCAGUAAGUUAAUACCUUGCUGUUUUGACGUUACCGACAGAAUAAGCACCGGCUAACUUCGUGCCAGCAGCCGCGGUAAUACGAAGGGUGCAAGCGUUAAUCGGAAUUACUGGGCGUAAAGCGCGCGUAGGUGGUUUUGUGAGUUGGAGGUGAAAUCCCCGGGCUCAACCUGGGAACUGCCUCCAAAACUGCAUGACUAGAGUACGGUAGAGGGUAGUGGAAUUUCCUGUGUAGCGGUGAAAUGCGUAGAUAUAGGAAGGAACACCAGUGGCGAAGGCGACUACCUGGACUGAUACUGACACUGAGGUGCGAAAGCGUGGGGAGCAAACAGGAUUAGAUACCCUUGUAGUCC